AUAUUAUUUUCGUUUUUUACAAACAGAAAGUGGUACUGUAAAAUAACAAAGAGAUUUAAAUUGAAAUUCAACUGAGCGGAAAUGAUAUCCAUUUAACCUGUUAUACGUUGAAAAUAUUAAAAAUUUUAAAAGUUCAGAUGUGUAUAUGUAUGUUAGAAUUGCGGCACGAAAGAAUAAUUUUAAAAGUUAGAAAAACAUUGUACGUUUCAAACAUGGCAGAAGUUCGAUAAUUUUCAAAUAAAAAUGCUAAAACCUUUAUUUAUUUUUGUCGAGCUAUUUCAAAUUUAAACGCAAAUAACAUUAUUUACUAUUUUGAAUUCGAAUAAUAAUAUCGAUAGUGUAAUUAAUUAUUCGUUAGAGAAAGAAUUUUAAACGAUGGAAUUAUCUGGAUAGUCACGUAUCACAGUACACUCCGUUAUCGAAUAUCGAUAAUGAAAAUUUAAAGGGCCUUCGACGCUUUCAUUUUCCUCUUCACAUCGCUUUGUGAUAAUCCGAGAUCGUUCGUGGAAGAAGAUUAUCGUUAACCCUCUAUAUCAUAGAUUCGUGUGUUACGAUAUAUGAAAAUUAAAAUUAAAAUCUGAACAAAUUUUUCAAGUAAUCAGAAACGAGUAAACGAUUCAAAGAAAACAAGGCUGUAACGGAAAAAAUUUACAGUGACGUCUUGUAUGAUUGAACUAAUAUUAUUAGUGAUUAUUAUUAUUAGAUUGUGAUUGAUAUUAAUAAAUUUUCUUGUGUAAUAUUUGAUAAUAAGGUGAAAAUGAAAUUUUAUUAAUAAAAUUUUAGUGAUCUGAUUAUCUUAUUUCAUAUAAAAUUCUAAAAGUGAAGUUCAUAACCUAUAACUCAUAAUACGUGAAUUUAUUAAUAUUAUUGAUUACUAAAUCAUUAUACAAGAAAGUUUUAAAAUCUAAGUUUAAACUAUUAAAAUUGUAUUUUCGAAAUAUGUUUAACCGCAUAAAUGAGUUUUUUAUUGAAAAUAAUUGUUUGUGUCUCAUUGUAUACAUCAAUAUUCCAUUCUCGAAGGUUAGGUUAAUUUCUUUAACUCGUUCUACUUAAAGCAUUGCUAUAUUUGUCCUGUGUUCCUGUGCAAGUUCUUAUUACUUCAGUCGUCCUCAUCAUUUAACCUUAUGGAUAUAUAAUUUAUGAUUCACCAACAACAGAUCAUUUCCUCAUCCAUAUUGAUGUAUUGUACAUGACAAUCCCUCGAAAACGAAAUAUCAGCCCACUGACAAUACGAACGCAAAUAAUCGACAUUUGUAAUUCAAUUGAAAAUCACGAAGGCUGAAUAACAUCAGAAGAAUCUUCCAAUGUGAAUGAUUCAUUCUUCCUCCAAUGAAUACGAAAUUUAUCGAAUUAUUGGAUAGAAAUUAACAAACUUGUAAAAUUUCCAAUAAAUUUGAAGUUUUCGGAUAUCGAAGUUACAAACAAAACAACAUUUCGAUCGGUUUACAAUGCUCGACGAAUAAACAAUGAAAAAAACGAAAAAAAAAAGAUAAAAAGUAUUUAAAAAAAAAUAAAUUGACAAAGGAAAAGGGAAACCAAAAACAGAGAAAAACACAUCGAAUGCAACGAUAUAAAACGAGAACUAUUCGAUGAAAGAGGUUGUAGAUUGGAGUAAAUUCACUUUAUUACUUCAUGAGUAAGCAAGAGACAAGGGAAGCGAGUAGUUUAUUGAGAAUUACUGUGAUAAAUAAGGCGGGAGCAAGCAGUGGAAGAGGUUACACUGAAGAGUGGGGAAUGGCAACGCGAAGAGAACGAUCUCCACUCCAUGGAUACUCCUCGUAAUGUGUACCGUAUGCAGCUACAUCUACACGCAUACGCUAGCAUCUCUGAGUGCAUACGUUUACGCGUGUUCAUGUAAACGUUCUCUCUCCCUUCUCCUUCUCUCUCUCUCUGUCCCCUCCCUUGUAUCCCCACUCCAUUUCUAUACGCGCGCGUGUAUUUAUAUGAUACACUAUUCAAGUGCGCGUGCGGAGAAUUCAGUUUCGUAUGUGCACACGAACGAUACGUAUACAGACGGCGUUUCACGAAUAGGAUUACACUCGUCCAACAUUAAAUAGACUCUUGUAUUCGCGAUAAAGUUAUUUUUACGAUCGUCGUGAAGACAUUCGUCGAGUUAUCCUCCAUGAAAAAGCAUCAGCAACAAUUUCAGUUGCAACCGACUAGGUAGGGAGGAAAUUUUUCUCCGGCCAGACGUGAGGUUGAACACACUGUAGAGCAAUGACGAGGAGUGGGGGUAGGGCUAUACCGCAUGUGUAUAUAUACACCAAUCUACAGAGACCGAAUGGUCAAUGCUUGCUUGGCACUGUCACACAAAUAUGACACCAGGAUCGAACGGAAUUCAAUACUGGUUUGAAAUUUGUAAUCAGAUUGACGGCAAAUUUCCGAUGAAUCGUGACAACAUCAUCUACAUAUAUGGAGAGGACGGAGAUAUUCGGAUGACAGAUGCAAAUGUGGAGAGAACCAGGAGGAAGGAGUGUGAGAAUAGAUGAAAGAAAUGCAUUCGAGGCAUGUAAUCCGUUUAUAUUCCCUGUGAUUGACCGUUCUCCCAUCAGUCCCUGUUACACGAGAACGUAACUCUUCGUUGAAAUGUUUCCCGCCCCCAUUGUAACAAAAUGGAAUAUACAUACAAGAUAAAAAUAAUAUGAAAGUUUUUGUUCGUAUUAUUCAUAAUUUCAAUUUAUUCAAAUCUGAAUUUAAUAAGAUAAGUUUUAUCAUAAUAAUCCAAAUCCAUUUAAAUUUUUUAAUGAUUUAAUUUAUGUUCGAUAAUUUAUAAUAAUUCAUUAUUUUUGUUUUCAGUAAUUUAUCGUAACAAUAAUUUUACGUCUUUAUCUUUUAUAAAUGGUUACAUUAUUUCCCAUCUUUACGAGGUUACGUUUUAAUUACGAUUCCGAGUUUCUACAAAGCUCAUAAAGUUUAAAUGGAAGCACGCAUCGUACGAUGAAAAAAAGAAAAGAAAAGAAGAAAAAAAAGUACAAUAUAUCUUUAGUAACAUUUAUUGAAACUCUCCACGGAAAUCAUGACACGUAUGAUGACGAAUAGGUUUUAUUUUCUCGGCCGAUCGAAAGAGGCGGGGAUGGAAUCUGGAACUUCACCCUCCGCCCGUCAAAAGAUAAAAUACAAGAUAUACAGGAAGUAGUAAGUAAAUAAAACGAACCUCGAACAAGUAGUAACCUGCUACAUGAUAUACGACCGAUCUUUCACGUUCCCGUGCCGGUUGAUAACUCGAUUUGUCAAUAUCAGACGGGGACACUAUCGAAUUUAUUUUUUUUUUAUACAAAUCCCGAUUCACCGUCGCAAAGUAAAUUCUUUCGCCUCGUGUGACGAGAACUCCACGGCACGAUUUCAUAUUCCAACGAAGGAAAGUAUUUUGCAUAAUUUAUUUCGCUGCAACUUCUUUUCCACCUUGCGUCGCCCUUUUCCGCCCACCCCCACCCAAC
rnacentral:lncRNA from 1 species